GGUUUCUCUGUGUAGCCCUGGCUGUCCUGGAACUCACUCUGUAGACCAGGCUGGCCUUGAACUCAGAAAUCCACCUGCCUCUGCCUCCCAAGUGCUGGGAUUAAAGGCAUGUGCCACCACUGCCG
ensembl:miRNA Gm27592 predicted gene, 27592